rnacentral:lncRNA from 1 species
UCCAAAGUCAUAGAAUGAUAUGAAUAUUGAUAUAUCCCUAGCACUAGUCUUGUUAGAAUCCAAAGCAACCCAGAACCAAUCGAUAGCCAGAUCGAAGGAUGUUCAAUCAAUGGGAAUGACCACCACAAGCCCAAGAAUUACAAAAAAAUCAUCGAACCCAUUAGAUAGAUGAAAAAUUACUACCGUCAACACGGAGAACCUACAUAUCGAGCCCUUUCGAGCAAAAAUAGGCCGAAUCAGAUAUUGAUGAAUCUAGCGCAUGAGAGACUUAAGCUUCCAACUGAAC